GAGGUUUUUUGGUUGUUGUUGUUUGUUUGUGUGUUUUUGUUUUGUUUAGUUGUUUUUUAAGUUUUGUUUUGUUUGUAACUAAAUACUAAAUCUCCAGUUAUUUCCAAUUGCUUGCCAUUGCAGGCAUCUUCAGCUAGGAGUCUUGGUCACUGUGAGCAAUCUGUAGAUCCAGGCACACAAGAUGCAUUCCACUUUUUGACUUUUCAACAUCCAUGUGUUUCCCCUUCUCAUGCAUCUCAUCUCUUGCGCACUAUGGGGAAAUACUCCCUGAAAAAUGAUCCUUAAUCCAAAUAUUUGUCCAAAUUCUGAUUUUCCAUGCCUUGUAGCUGCACCAGUACACACUAUAACUCUGAAUGCAAUGGUUUUAUACCAAGUCCUGCGUGGGUGCAUGAAGACAUUGAAUAACACUGUGUCUCAUCUUUCAUGCCACAUUGUUCUGCAUCAUUGGUAAAAUAAGCCUUGCAAGAAAACGUCUGCGCUCAAAACAGAUGGCAUAAGGAGCAGGUAAGGGUGCUGAGCCCAUCCAGCAGUGCCCAUCUGCUGCUGCUUACUUUGUUGUUUCUUCCCCUGCUGCCCUUGGUGCUAUGAGCAGCCUAGGAAUCAUCAUUAUGGCAAUUCUUAUUUUCUGAUACUAAAAAUAAGAAUUUCAGUGUUUCUGCUGUCCAUGUUUUAAGAAGCAGGCAAAUGAAGUUCACUUUUUAGUAUUAGAAAUUUCAGUUCUCCAUUUUUGUAAGCUAAUGAGAAUUCAUCUGCAGCAGCAGAGGUAAACAUCUUUUUUUGAGGGAGCAUGGUGUGAAGGGUCUGUGCCUGCUGUUUUGUCCUUCAGAUGACACUCUCACACUGAUUGUCAGCAGUACUGUCAUUUAGAAGGAAGGAAGAUUUUAGCUGUCUGGAACAAAAACAUUUAAGUCUCUGAUGCUGGAUUUAGCAGCCUGACUUCUGAUGACCCAGGGAUUUUUGGCCCCAGCCUUGACCUUCGCAGUUUGUUUUCAUGCAGGCCAUGAAGACACAUUCAUGUAUGAGAAUGACUCACAAGUAUGUUGUAGAGUGAUCUGCUUAUUGGAUUGUGUGCAUUGUGAGUGAGAAAUCUGCGACAUAGUUGUGCUGACCUUGCUCCAGGGAGUAAUCCUUUUGACUAGCGGUUAAACACCAGGUGAAAUACAGAUUGACAUUGCUGGCAUGAAUGAAGCUUUCCAGAUAGGAACAGACAAAUAGGAAGUAUUUAAAAGUUCUAAAUUAUUAAUUUGGUUCUUACUCGUGUUUAUUUAUAUGAUGUGCUGUUUAACAGAAUCCUAAGUCAUAUCAAGAGCACAUCUAGAUUGUUUUAUACAAUGCAAAAACUUCAUUUAAUUUCGUUUAUUGUUUUUUGACUUGUGAAAUGUCAAGCUAACCUGCAUGAAGUACUGCCAGUUUAGCAGUUGUGCUGAAGAACUUAAUGCCUGUCAACUUUCAUGGAACACCUGCAGCAGCAGUGAGACAUUGAUGAGCAGGAGGACACUUUGCACCUUCUGGAAUGAGUCAAGUGUUCACCCUUUUGCCUUUCAGAAAAACUAAUGGGUUUACCUCUGUGCAGCAGAUAAAUAAAGUUUAGAGAAAUCUUCCUGAGUUUGUAAAAGCAGGGUGAGUCUGGAAGCCCUGAUAUUAAUACAGAAUUGCAUUAUUACAGAUGUUAGACUGACCAUGUGGAGCAGGUUAGCUUGUUCAUUUACUUCUAAUAUCCACAGAGCACCUAAGAAGGAGAAAUUACCACAUUUGAAUGUUAACAUGGUGCUGCAGAUCUGUCAUACAUCCUGAAGCUGGGAAGAGCUGAAACGUGUUUUUCCAGAAAUGGGCAACAAAGUGCUGUGCCACCAAAUGGUCCUUUUUUCUUUAGGCAUUCAGACUCCUUUGCCAGUAGUGUUGUGCCUGUGUGACUGACAGAAUAUGGCUUCCUCCACAUUUAUGUACAGUUAUAAAACUACUAUAGUCACUUUGGGUGAUACAGAUUUGACAGUCUGGGGCAUUUAAACACAUUUGUUUUAAAAUAGCGUGAGCUUUGUUUCCGCAUGACUGCAUUCAUUGCAUAAUAUGGCUCUUGUGAGGCACAGUCAAAACAGCUUUCAGAAAGUAAUAAUUUCUUAGGGAAAGAGAUUAACAUAAAUUCUGGGAGUGGCCACGUCUGAUGUUCCUUUUGAAACAACUGAAUAAAUGUGACUGACAUUUAAAUAGUAUUUAAAUAUUAAUGUGGUGAUUUGAACCAAAAGCCUGCAGUAUGGUUUAUUUUCUACCAUUGUAUUCUGCUUUCGUGAUUAACUUUGUCUCAAUACCCAGACCAAAUAACCCAAUUUACACAUUUCUAUGUAUAUGUUUGAAAAAAUGAGAGAAAAAUGUUUGAUAUUGGAAGAAACAUUUGAAGAAAUGACUUCCACUCCAUUCAUCAUUGUCAGUAGAUCGUUAGAUGCCAUUACUUUAGGUGGAAAGUACUAUGCUUCUGUCUUUAACAAGGCAACCUGUGAAUGGCGCAGCAAGAGAAUGACUCUGCGGGUUAAUAAGAAGCAGAUGAGACUCCUGCCUCGCUAUGCUGUUGUCCACAAAGUUCUGUGGUCUUCCUAGGGCUUCUGUGCUAAUUCAGAGCCUGUCUACACAGGUUCUCUUGUGAAAAAGAGAAUAUUUGGGUUCAUCUGCCAGAAUGUUUUUUUUUUAAUUCCUUAGUCAGAAGUAUGUAAAAUGUUUUUCUCUGUAUUGUAUGACUCAGUCCACUUACUAAACAAACUGCAACUAACCAAUUUUUGCUGUUCUCUGUUGAUAUUAAUAUUUUCCUUAAUCGCUGGCACACUUUGUAUUCAUAGCAUGUUCCUGACUGUCCUGCAGUGUUCUGUGGCAGCUGUGUUAGCUUUUCCAGUGAUAGUACAUAACCUGUCUUUUCCAGCUGACUGUGGUUGAAUCUGUAGCAGUGGGUCUGCUUUUCUCCUUCCAUGUUUCCUCGCAUGCAAAGGUACAUGUGGGAAUUGGCCUGGAAAGCUGGGCACCGUUAUAUUUUUCUUAGUGCAAACGCUGCACCGUGUGUUGCUUUUGUGGAACUUAAUGAUCUCCCUUCUCAUGUAGUGUGGAAACUUGUGAGCAGUCUGUGGACAGUAGAACAAGGGUGGUUUGCAGGGUGGUGUGGCUCUGAGGAUAGAGCCUAGACAGGCUGCUAGAAACCUCUGCUCGAGAGGCAGGCACCGCUGGCAGUCUGUUGGCCUCUCUCAGUGUGGAGCACUACCUUUUGGGAUUAAGGAAAGGGAGCAAAAUUUUGAUCUGGAAAUAAAGACUAUUUUUAGAAAACAAUACUUAGCUGUAGAGGGGAUUAUUUCCGCAGCCGGUAGGGAAAUUCCUGCUCUUUGUGCACUCUAGCUGAUUGCCAGAUACAUUAUUCACAUUUGGCAUCAUUCCCAUGCGUCCUUUUAUUGAUAUUACAUAACUGAAAGGGUGAAAAUUGACUUUAAUCUAAAUUGCUCUUUAGUUGGAUACUGUGUAACCCUUCUGAGUUGCUGAUGGCUUAAACAGUCUGCGCCAGUUUUAAACCCUAUUUCUAAAUCGGAUUGGAGGAGUGGCUGCUUUUUGUACUAAAAAGAUCAUGGCUUUUUUUUUUUUUUAAGAUUUCUCAAACAUCUGGAAAGUUCCUGUAGUAACUUUCCAACUGAUGAAUACACUUUCCAUUUUUAUAUAUGUAUAUAAAAGUUGGAGCACUAAAUGAUACCCAUCUCUAAGUUUUCUCCCAGCAAUGUCUGGAGGCAAAGAAUACCCAUAGAUGCUGUGUUCAAAACACAGCAUGCACCAAAUUUUUGUUUCAUAUCUUGACUCUCAUCUUAACUGGAAUUAUUGCAUAGCCAGGAAGAACUGGACGCUCUUGGUCACUCAUGCAAAACUGUCUUUGAGUUUUAAAUGUGUCCUCAUGACUAGCAUACUGAUUGAUAGCAUGCUGCAUAAAGUGCUGGAGCAGCAUAACCAAUUCUAUUUGAAGAAGAUUUUGCAGAGGUUACUGUGCAGAAAAUUCUGUACUUUUACAUAGCUCCUAAUUGCAAAUGGAAGGGAGGUGCUGGGUUGGUCUGACAUGGUUCUUGUGAAGGAUGGAGACUUGAGGAGCUGGAACAUUGACUCUCAUGACCCAGUAGUGUACCAGUGAAGUCUUUGGCUUUUAAAAGCUCGACAAGAGGGACGGAGUUGAAAAUCUGCUUUGUGGGCCUGCUGCUCUGUGAGAACAUGUGAAGAGAAGCUGUAUGGGCAGCAUUUAGUGGGAUGUGCUCUGACUCACGGCCCUCUUACCAGUGAAAGUCUGUGGUAUGUUCAGGGACAGCCAAAACAUCCUCCAAACCUCUUACCUUAGAACUAAAAGGUCUUCCUUCUGCUGCUUUCCAGAAACUUCUGUGGCUCUGAUUCUCUUCUCAGGCAGUGGCUCCUGAUGGACAGUGGUGGUACUUAUCCUUUCUUAAGUAUAUGUAGAUAAUCAGACGAAGGAAAAUUGAGCUACAGCGUGGCUUUAUUGCAAUGAUGUUUGCCACAGCACAAUUACCUUGCUUUCAGUGCUUAUCUAAUCCUGCACUUAAUCUUGGAGACAAAAUAGUAGUGUUUUUAUAAUCUGAGGUUAUAGCACAUCACAGGAAUCCAUCCAAUCUGUCAUAGAAGUGCCAGAAGUUAAAACUAAUUAUUUUUUUCCCUCCCCAAGCAGAGAAAAAAAAAAUUGCUAUUUACUGUGCUUACAUUUUUCAUAAAAUUUCCCUUUACGGAGGCUCUACAGACCUGCAUGGUAGAAAAUUGAAAAUUAUAAGUGGUUGUUUGAAGUUCAGCAUAUUUUCAGUUUGUCUGUAGAUGGAAAUCACUGUGAUGGACCUGUAGAGAAUGAUCUGUGGGUAUGUAUUUGCACUUGAUGUUCCUGUGUCCGUGAUGGAGGACGUAUCUUUAUAAAUAAACAUAUUUAAUUUUUUUUUUAUUCUGUAGACUGAAAUUGGACUGACGUAGUUGUUGCAGCGUCAUAUGGUUCACACUGAGUGCAGCAGUUUGCGCUCACCUUCUUUUCCCAUCAUCGUUUCUCCACAGAAAGGGAGUGUUAUUUGAUCCCAGCAAAGGUGCUGCUGAGGCAGCAGCAGUAUAACCUUGUGGUUUGGUGUGAUGCCAGAGGACCUUCUGAAAGAACAAGAAAUUCUCAUUUGGCUAUUGCACCUCUUACUAGAGGAAGGCUGGAGAAUUGAAUGCAUAUCUCUUUCAGAGUAGAUAGGUCCCACUAGCUGAGAUCCUUGUCAGCAUUUAUGUGAUUUUCAUCAGGCUGUGUUUUGGUCUUGUGUUCCUUGGAUUUGUUAUCACUGUCAAAAGGGGUUGCUAUGCUGAAUUCUUUGUAAGCAGAAAUUUUAAAGUAGAGAAAAAUUACUGGUUUUCCCUGCCUUUUCCUCCACAAUUAUAUGGCAGCAGACUGUUAAAAUAUUUAUAUUCCCCUAUGCCUCCAUCAUAUUUCUUGUGGAUUUGAGUUUGAUGUUUUUAAUAACUUGUGUUAUUUAUACAUCAAUUGUUACUCUUUUUGAUUGCCUAAUUUCCAGUUUCUAUUGGCUGCAAAACGUCUUUGCAUGUGAAGAGUUUAUCUAAACAUUUUGAUAUAGAGCUUGUUUUUCACCUUUGGGAUAUGAAAUUCAGUGGCUGUUGUGCAGAAACACCAGAGAUACUGUUUGUCUUUCAGUUUAAAGUGCCAUUAAGCACUAGACAUCACUUUGUUCUGCGUCUUUGCGAAAGAGUGCAGGAAACAGGUUGGAAGGAGAAAAAGUUUCGUUAGAGAUAAAAACUGGGGUUUUUUUUUCUCUAGAAAGAAAAUUUUCCUGCAAAUGUUCAUUUAGUCUUUUAUGACUUUCAGUAGACUAACAGGAUUUGCUCUUUUAAGCAACACUUAGGCAGAUAGAUAUUACUGCCGAGUUCUUUUCCAAUCUGUACACUUUUCAGCUUUAAGGUCUGUGCCAGAAAUUCCUUUUCAUGCAAAAUCAAUCUAGAUGCAGAAAACCAAUUAAUAAUUCAUAAGGUAUAAAUGUCAAAAAUAAAUGGUGUUUGCCUUUCCAGAUGAGUCACUUAGAGCUUGUCUGCCUUGGAAAGUUAUGGCAUCGUAAUCUAAGGGCUGAAUUGGAAAUGCUGCAAUUUUACAAGUAUAACUCUGCAAUGGAUGGGUUUCUUUCUGCUUGUAGAGGAACAGCUUUUCAACUUAACUGGGUUUUUUUGAAAAGGGAAUUGAGGGCACCAGACUAAGGCCUAUCCUUCCACUGCAAUGAAAGUGUGUGCACAGAACUGGCUAAAGCAUGAGAGACAACCAACUAGUGUAUUUUUCUCUACUGUUUCACUAUAUAAUUUUUUUUCCCCUGGGAAUGUUAUCUUUGUCAUCCAAACGCAGUUAGCUAAAACUGUUGGUUGCUUCAUCCCAUUUCUUGCACUGGUCAGGAAUGGAUGGAAUUUAGUUUUAUUUUCUACUGUUAUGAAAGGAAUUAAGAACUUUUAAAACAGAUCUGAGGCAUGAAGAAUGUUCUAACCAAAUGCAAACAUUUUUAGGAAUCAGAACGUUUGAAUGUGGAAAUGUGCCUUGAUGUGCACAAUAACCAUGAGUGCACAUUUACUGGCUAGACUCCAUCAUCCAAGGAGCCUUUCUCUAGUAUUAACAAAUGGAAGUUUGUCUUUCAGGAAGAGUGGUUGGAUCUUAUGUUAUUAUUUGUACUCUAGAUUUGGGUUUUAAAUAUGCACACAGUAUUCUGAGGCUGGCAGGGAAUCUUCCUUUCUCACAAAAUUGCUGAAAAACGUAUUGCCAAAUAUGAGACGAAUUCACCACUCUCGGAAGUGGAUGUGACUGCUGCAAGUUGUAAACAUAAUAUACCUUUCUUCUAGACUGUCAAAAGUAUAAAUAGGUAAAAUAUGAAUUUUUGAAGCAUGGGAAGGUGUAAUUGUCUCAGCUGAAAGCUGAGGGAAUCUUAGGUAAAUUAUAUAAAUCUUUAGCUUUUCAAUGCAGAAAAAAAUAUUUUUUUCCUCUAUUAGACUCUUUCUGUUUUGUUUCACCUGUGUAAGAUGCUGCAAAAAAAGGCAUACAGGAACAAAAGUUAAGUUUUGCAUGGUAGCAAUGGAAUUUUCUUGCUAGAGAGAGUAGGAGCCAAAAAUAUGUAUGACAUCAAAACAUAUAAAAUACCAAAAGAAUGAUAAGGUUUUUUUUGUUUGUUUUAUAAUAUUAUCAUUCAGAAUAUGUAAGUCAGGGUGGUUUUGGACUUGUGACUUUUCAAAGGCCUGAACUGGCAUGUUUUAGGAAGGCUGCUCUUUUAUAGCCAAAAAUCUGUAACACUUGAAAUAGAAUAACAAAAGCUCUACAGCUUCUGGAAAGUAUCCUAUUUUUUUAUUUAACAGUAGACUUGGGCAGAAGUAAAAUACUAGAAAGGAAGAUGAGUGAGGAUGAAAGACUGGAGAGGUCCACAACAGGGAUCCUUGAAAACUGAGCAGAGGUGCACUGUCUGCUCUGGUAUGUACGGGUGGUGACUGACUGGAGGGAGAAGGAAUGGCAGAUGUUCCUGAAGGAAGCUAGCACUUGCUGUUUCCUGCUUCAUUAGCCUGCUAGCUGCAGGAUUCCUGUUCCUGAUCUGGACACAGUGAUAACGUAUACUGUUCCAGCCCAGGAGCAAAGACAACUGUUCCCAAAGCACAAUACAGCUUAAGUAUCACCAAUGGGUUAACGAGGUCAGCAUGAAUUUAAUGGCGUCUGUCAGUAUAGGCGGAAUCAAAUGUCACUAACGAGGGGAAAAGGUAACAUUGUUUCUAAGAUGACAACCCCAGCUGUUACAGAUUUCCUGUCUCACAGGGAGAAAGAAUAAGGAAGAGGCAAUUGUCCUCUGCUGCUCUGAUUUCAGGAUAGUCUUUUAACAAGAACUGCUGGACAGCCACUGAAAAAUAAGCUUUCCAUGACUUAGUGCUUUUUUCUUUCCCUAGGGAGAGUUUGCUGUUCUGAGUAGACUGACAGAGCCUUUAUAUUUUGUGUGUGGAAAGUUUCCCCAGCGCUGGCUGCCAAAGGUUCUGCUAGGUUUCUGCUAGAUCAGCCAAGUCGCUGCAUCAGGUCGGUGACUCAUUGGAGCAGUGCGGUGCAGCCCCAGCCCUGGCGGGCAGAGCCGAGCUCCGAGCUCCCAGCUCUGGGCCAGCGAGCUCGAGCUGCGGCCCCAGGGGCUCCCGGUGACUCCAGUACCCGGCUGGGCUGCAAAGUGCACUGACACAUACUGGCUAUGCAGAUGUAUAGCUUUUUGAGAUGAAAGGCAAGGUUGUUCCAGUGUGUCUUCCUUGUCCAUAACCAUAAGGAGGGGAAUGACCCUUGUACUUCAACAAGAGAAAGCAUUGUUGCAGACUCUUGAGGUGAGUUUCAGUAUAUCUGCAAAAAAGGAGCUGUCCUUCUGCUCUGUGCUGUUAAGUGACUAAACCACAUAUGAUCUUGUUUGACAGAAGAACAUAAGUCUCUGGACAUGUGUGCAGUUGUGGCUCUUGAGGCCCAGAGAGUCUCGAGGGCAGAGCUGGGCUUUGGCUGUCUUGUUUCUUGAUGCACAGCCUGAAUGUAUUAGCCAAGAAAGGAGAUGAGCAUGCUUGGGUUGAGCUUCUGACUGGAGCUUGCUGGUUCCACUGCAGAGUCUAUUCUAAUAAUAAAAAUAAGUUUUUGAGAUAAAAACAAGUUGAAGUUUGGACGGACUUCUAUUUGAAAAUGUCUGCCAGACUAUACGAGAAAAUUUACGUGAUGCCCAGUGGCUGACCUUACACUUAUGUCUUUUGGGCCGAUAGGAUAAUUGCUCAUUUACCCUUCUCAUCUUAAGAACAAGACCACUUCCCAAAUUAUGUAUUUAAAUCAGCUAUAUGAGAUUUCUAGCAACUUUUAUAAAAUGCAGGCUGUCUUCCUGAGCAGCUUUGAAAGCUUCUCUAGAGACAUACAGAUAUGGUGCUGUUAUAUCUUGCUCUUUGUAAAAGACUCUUUCUCUCUUUUCUUCCACAGCACAUUGGAGCAAGAGAGAUUUGAAAAUUUAAUGAAGCUGCAAUAAAACAGUCUAUUCUAGUUCCAUAUUUUUCUCAUUUCUGUUUGCAGAUUAGCUAUAUGUGUGCUUAGGGAAACUUCUUGAUCUGUAAACAGAUUGACUGCUGUAGACUUUUUUUCCCCUGAUUUCGUCCUGAUAUUUCUUUAAAACCUUUGGAAAAUAUUGUUACAGUAAAUUGCAUUUCCUUUAAAUGCUAUAUUAAUUUUCUUGCAGUAAAAUUAAAGUUGGGAAGGUAAAUUAAGCAGCUGAGGGAGAAGCCGUGGAUGUCAAAUGAGCUGUUUGUUAAAGAAUGAAGAUCAGAUCAGAUCAGGAGUAUAAGUCACAGCCUUCUGGAUGGCUGAGCCAGAGGGCUCUGGGAUAGGAGUUUAGGGCUCUUGGAAGCCCUUUGGAGCAUGUGAUGGAGCAGGUAGCAGGGAGCUGCAGUAAGUGGGGAGAGUGGGAUCAGGUGUUAUCUUUGUAUGCUGUGUUUUAGUAAUUUUAUUAACACGACACUGAGGACUUAACAGAAGAGAAUGGGAUUUUUUUUCUCCUAUUCUCUAUUGCAAGGUCAUGAAUGUAGUCAUGGUACCACAGCACCCCAUGGCUGUAUCACUAUCAGAAGUCAUCAGGUGUUUGGUAUGUUCCUUGAAAGUGACUGGGUCUGUGGUUAUAGGUUUAAGAUGUGAAAUAUUGAGGCUUUAGAAGCAUUAACAAAUAUGGACAAGAUAAUGCCAGCUUGCUCCUUAGUAUUCCCAGGUCAGAGAUGAGAGUGCUUUAAAAUGCUGUUGCUCUGUUUUUGCUUUUGAGGUUUCUUGCUAUACAUUGAAGAAGAAAGUAGUAAUGAUUUCUGGUGCCUGUGCUAAGCUACAGAGAAGACUUGAGAGAAAGGUAUAGGAAUUCUGUUCUAUCAUAUCACAGAGGAACCUAAGUUUGACAGAAAGUCCCAGGGAAGAGUGGAAGUGGCAGGAGGAAAAGAUAAAGUAUGUUUACAGAUACUUUGGUUUCCUGCCACAGCCCUCCUGAGCCUGAGCCAACAAGCAAAGCUCUGCAGUGCCCUCUUCUGCAACCAUUUCUUUUCCCACAUCUCUGCUGCAAAGUGACCAGGAGGGCAGGAAAAGUGACUUUUUGCUCAUUUUCUGUGCCAUUCUUCUAUAUCUGAGGAAUUUCUGGUAGGGUUUGUGGGCUUAGUUUCCUCUGCAGCAGGUCAGGGUGAUCAAGGAACUGAGACUUAAGCAAUUAAUUUAUUGUUUUUAUUAUUGUGAGUCCUUGGCUCUACUGAAGUAAUGUGUUUGGUUAGCAGGCUGGAAAAGGUUGGGUUUGUUUUGGUACCUUAUUUGUUUUUAAACAGCAAGAGUCCUGGCAUUAACUAUUGCUCUAAAUAAUAAAACAAUGUAGUGUAGCUCUUAAUUCUUUAAUGUAAUAUUUUAAAAGAUAUAUAAAUCAUUUAAGGAAAGCAGAAAGCAUUUAUGUAUUAUCACAGGUUUUGCAAGCAAGCAGUGCAUAGUCAAGAUUUACAAAAAUUUUCCCAGUAUUUUGUUUGCAAAGGAGACUUUAUACAAAUGUACAAUGGAAGUGACCUUGUUCUUAGUAUGAAACAUUCACUAAUGCAUGUGGUAUAUGCCUUUACUGAGCACCAAAAAUCAUUCUGCAGACUAAAUUCUGCUGAUCUGCGUAUUUUUGCUCAUUUAUCUUGAGCAUUCAGAAAUAAUUUUUAUCCAAGAUUUUCAUUAUUAUUAUUAAUAACAGUGUUUUAGCAGCAUAUAAUCCCAAAAAUUAAGGAGAAAUUACAGAACCCAGGUGUUUUAAAAUUAGUAUUGCAAGAGCAAAACCUAGGGUUUCGUUAUAACUACAUGGUUUUAAGACUUAAGAGUUUUGAGGGGGAAACACACAUAACAGCAGACAAAUGACAGGUACUGCAAAGAACCAUCAGUAAUUCCUCUGAGCCAUUUUGUCUUCUUCAAGUUUACCUCCUUUGAGAGCUGUUCCAGUUUGAAAUGUGUUCUAGAUCUUUGACAGUGUGUGAUUGUGCCCCUCCCUCUUGCUUUCUUUCAGACAGAGUGAAGUAGCAGCUGACCUGAACUUCUGAGGCACUGUCUAUAUUGGAAAGUCACACAGUGCAAAAAGCUUGUGAAAAUUGCAGGAAAUAUUCCAGUUUUAGAUAGGUUUUUCUAUGUCAUGUGAAUAUUUAAAGUUUUUUUUUUCAGACAGUUGUGAAGAGCUCUCUGUUCAGCUGAUGGGUUGACUUGAGUUUUAAAUUUAGUAAAUUGAUUGACUACUACUAACUUCCUUUGCAGGCAAGGUGGUGGAAGAUGCCAGAAGAAAAGUAACAUCAUCCACACAGAAAAGAAAUCAUGUGAAUUUAUGAAUCAAGAGGGCAUUUUAAGAAAUGAUGUAAUAAAUUAAUGGAUGUGGCAGAGCAGGUUUCUUUACCUUUAUCUCAUUUUAAAGAACUAGAUUGUCUUUUUUGAGACACAGAAAACACGGGACUUUAAAGAGACGAGGAUGGAACUCCUGAAACACUCCCUGUGAUCUCUGGUGAUCCGGGUGGCACUGCUGAAUUGCCAUCUAGGAGUGUCAUCUUCUGGAAAUCUGAGCUACUGGAUACCCUGCUGCAGCCCUGAUUGCUCACAUCUCCAAGGUUUGAAUAACUCAAACCAGGAGGCUGGUGAUGAACCACUUCUGUGCUCCAUCAUGAGUUUUGAUGUCUGCCGUAGAUGGCCUUCACUAAGAAGUGAAGGAUCCUUAACCACUUUCUUUUUGUGCACCCAGACAUAAGCUAGACAGUGAAUCAUUGUAGUAACGAAGGGGUCUGCACUGGCAGUGCAAGCUUUGCUCAGAAUUCCUCUCCCUGCUUUGCAGCACUUUUGUCUCACCAGUGUGCAAAAGAUGUGAUAGUGGAAAAGCAGCUGUAAACUCAUGAGGAAACUGUGAAUUCGUGAUCUCUGGGUAUGCCAAAGAGGGUAGCUGUUGUAAACGUAUCCCUGAUGGCAAAUGUCUAUUUAUUCUGCUUUUUUUGCUUUGUAUUUUUUCUGUAUUUUCUGAUCUGAGCCAUUGCUACCAUGCAACCAGAACCCAAUGACUAGAGUGGUGUAUGAUCUUGGCUGAUGCUGGUCUUGCUGAAGAUACAUACUGCCUAGAUCCAACUUGCUAAUUUACCCCAGUGUGCAGUGCUAGUGGGUAAUGCUACUGCCAUACCUGUUUAUUGUCAGUGGUUUGAAAUACCUGGUUUUAAAACCUCACUUUGCAGAACAAAGAUAGACUUGUGACUUCUCCUUGACAUGAAAACUUUGGUUUUGCUGUUGAUCAAGUAAUCAGUGGGACUGGAAGAUCUGAUGACUAUAAUCCACACUCAACAGGCGAAGCUCAUUGUAGAAACUGAAAUAUUUUAGCGUUGAAGAUUUAAAUGAAGAAAGUAUUGGAAUGGUAUUGGAAAGGUAAAUUUUAAGCACUGAUAAUGAGUUGAUCAUAAUUCAUCAUCGUUUUUAAAUCUGGGCUAUUCAGCUAUGCUUCCCGAAGUUCACACAAAAGCUUGAUAAAUUGUAAUAAAUACUGUUUCUCAUGAAUAAUACUCGAAUCAAUCAGGGAAUUUAGUUUUGCUAAUAUAUGUGGGUGAGAGCCAUUCUAUAUUUAAACUGAUUGGUGUACCUCCUAUUUAAUCAUAGCUUUGCUCAUGUCAUUAUGUAUCUGUCUGGUUCUGUAGAGUCAUUGUGAUCUCUGCAGUCUUGCUUGGUAGGGGCAUGUGCAUGGCAAAACUUCCAAGGCUGCAUGGACUUUUGAAGUUUUCAGAAAGCCCUCUUUGUUACAGAGAGCCAUCAUGUAAAGUGGAUAGUCUGGCUUUUUUCGCUUUAGAUCUUCCUAAGGCAAAUGUCAUCAUUGGUGUACUUUACUGUCAUGCUGCAGAAAGAAUGCUUCUCUGCACUUAUGCAAACAGCCUUUGUGAGAGCUCUGUUCCUUCUGUUUACUUGUGUUUCUGGUGCUGUUACAACUUUUAUUCCCAUAAGAACUAAUGACAUCACUGAGCGGUGUUACAAGUGAUUUCAUCCUUUAAUAUGAACUAAUCAGUAACACAGAGUUGUCCAAGGAGUAGACCACAACCUGAAUAACCUGUGUUGUAUUUUUUUCGGUGGAUUGUCCAACAGAGUUGCACACAGCAAGAUCCAAGAUCAUGCGUCUAAAUAACAACACAGAGAUUGCUUUGCCUUCAAACUGCUAUAGCUGAUGCUGCAAGGGACUGUAAAGAUUGGUGUAUCCCAGUGGAAUCCUACAGCACUCUACCUGUGUCCUCACUGCGAUGAGGACAAAACUAGAUGGUGACAGACACUUUAUACACUUCCUUCAGACUGAACAUUGUUGGCAUUGGGAUAAUGACCUUCCCAACAAGUGACAUCAGCCACUCAUUGUAAGUCUCUCUGAAGAUCUUGCACCCCCUUGGUCACCUCCCUCUGGACACACUCCUUGAGCUGAGCUCCCAGAGCUGUGCACAGAACUUGAGGUGAGGCUGCACCAGCACAAAGAGGGACAAUCACUUCUCUUUCCCAGCUGCUGAUGCUGUGCCUGAGGCACCCCAGAACACUCCAGUUGCCUUCCUGGCUGGCAGGACACUGCUGGCUCAUAUUCAACUUGCCAUCAAUCCAAACUCCCUCUUGUUUUUCCAUGAGGCUGCUUUCCAGGCUCUUGUCCCCCAGCUUGUACAUACAACCUGGAUUACCCCAUCACAGGUAGAAAAUCCAUCACUUGCUCUUGUUCAGCUUCAUGUAGCUGAUGAUUGCCCAUCUCUCUAGUUUUAUCUAUAUCUCUCUGUAAGGCCUCUCCACCUCUGAGGAAGUUCACAGCUUUUCCUCCUUUGGUAACAUCAGCAAAGUACUUAACAGACUUUUGAUUUCUGUGUCCAGGUAAUUUCAAAUAAAAACAUCAAAGAGCACUGGCCCUAAAACCAAGCCCCAUGAAGCCUACUGGUAACUGUCUGCUAGCCUGAUGUGAUGUGAUUUAGUACCCAUCUACCCAUCAGUCAAUUUCUCACCCAGCAUGUUAUAGACUUUCCUAGCUGUGUGCUGGACAUUUCAGCAGGCUACUCUGAGAGAUGGUAUUUCAAUCAUGCAUAAUGAAUCUUUCAUUAAGUGCUGUACAUUGCAUCCUCUCCAUAAUAUAACAUGUUUUAACUAUUUGUAUUCACAACAGAGCGUGAAACUUCUUUAUUCAGUACUUAAGACUGUCAAAUAAAGUUUUCCUGAGUUGUCUAUAAAAUUUGCAUUGAAUCUCACUUCUUCUAGUUCUACUCUGUGAAUUGUUUUCCUAUGUCUAACACUGCAGAGAUGACUCACCUGUGAUGGGUGAUAAUCUUGACCCCUAUAAAGUAGUUUUAUAAAAAGAAAAGUAUUUCAGUUCUUUUCUGUGCUGAGAGACAGACAGCUGCUGAUGCUCUGUCUGUCGGGUUUUGUUCAGUGACAGAGGGAAAGGGAGGCUCUAGCGAAUGAAGGGUCACUGUACCAGUAUGGAAAUAUUAGCAUGUGGCACUGAUAAAUAAUUGUGAUUGCUAUAUUAAAAACAUUCUAAACACAAAUGCUGAGAUUAAAAAAUGCAUUUUUUCAGUUGUUUUGAGGGGGGAAAAAUGCUGAUGCAUUUCCAAAUAGGGUUGCAGUUUUUAUAGGAACUUCUGACACACCACAAUAAUCCCCUUAGUGUUACAUUCAUGCAAGUAAUUAACAAUUAGUUAACAAUUAGUUAAGAAAUGAGUAAUGUGUGGUAAUACACAAAUAGUUUGACUGUAUAGUCCAAACUAUAUAGAUAACAAUUAGUCUUUCAAUAAGAGUCUUCUUUUGUGUGAUAAGAGUGCCGUGCCUUUGUGAUGUGAUGAUGGCUAAGGUUCUGACACAUACCAGCCUUAGAGACAGUCAGUGAUGCUCAUUGUCAAAAUGCCACAGCACAGCUAAGCCACAGUGACUUGUACAUUUUACUCUGCAACAGGCCUAAUCCAACUUAAUUUGGUAAAUUAAUGUAAACUUCCUUUGAGUCCUCUGCAGAAUCAAGCACUGUCAAAGGGAUUGUUCAAGGCUCCACUAUGCAGAGGAAAAUUCUUCAGAGGAAAUCUGAAGAAAGCAGAUAGAUCUGGAUGGGAGAUUCAAAAUAACUAUGUUUUGUAGGAAGGACAUAUCUAAUUAAGACAUAAAUGGAAAUAUUUUGCAGGAAAUUUUGAAUGUUCAACAACAUAAAAGAGUAAUGACUUUGUAAUUGAGCUAUAUAUAGAAAAUGCCAUUUGACAUUUUAGUCGUAUUCAAAAUACCUAAUUCUCAGUGUGCAUGCUUGAGAUUUAGGUACUUGCUAUGCCAAGUAAAGGAAUUAUCAGCGAAGUAAAAGUGAAAUGAGCUCUGAUUUAUUGCAGUCCAAAGGUAGAGGAACACUAGAAAAGGUUACCACAUUUGUCACAGCAGUUUUCAAAGAGACAGUAAAGUAAUGUACAUUGAUUUGUUGGCUUUAUGGACAAGACUAUGAACAUAUGAGCUUUUUAUUUUGAGCUUUGGCAAUUGAGAAAUCACCGCAAAAGAUAUUCAGCAGAAAAGCCAAUACUGGCCUUAAACUUGCACCAUUAUGCUAAUGAUUCCUGUCUGUGAUACAUUUCAAGAACACGUUUCUUCUAGGAUUCCCCAGAACAUUGCUGAUCUGAAAAUUGAGUCUUCCAUUGUUUUUUGUUUUCUGCUUGCUUGUGCAGACAUCAAUGAUGUUGAAACAGUGAUGCCUGUUCUGGCACUCCUAUCAAAUCCGUGGUUUUCAGAAUAGAAUGUGCUAUGUACUGGAGUCCCAGAGCAUGUUGCUCCCCUGUGACCUCUCCUUCAAAGAAGCUUUGCUUACUUUCAGCUCUUGCUUUUGUUUAUUUCAGCCUAAGGAAAAGUUCUCUGUGAAGAAGUUUGUCUUUAGUCUACUUUUUCCCUCCUUCCAGCAGAACACUAUUUAUUUUACAUUACUUUUCCAUUCAGAUACAUUUAGAAUGUCCACUAAAAGAGGGACACUCAAGGAACUGCUGUCUUGUUUUUCUCUGUUCCAUCUUUCUUUUGAACUCCCUUGACACUAGUCAUGAGGACGCGGUGAAAAAGUACUGAUUAGCAGGAAACAUCAUGAACUAAGAGAAGAAAAGUCAAACUUUUUGAGAAGUCUAUCUAGACAUAAUAAUGUUGUAGCAAACUGGAGCUGACUACAAGUGUGGCUAGUGCUUUGAACAGCUGUGUGAAUUGGGGCUCCCUGAGGGAAACAGUGACAUGGUCAGCAUGAGUUGUUCAAUAUUAUUUUCCAUUCAAACUUCACACUCUUGCAAAGGCAUAGAAAGUUAAAAACACUUUGCUGUUCAGACAUGGAAUUUUCAGGAUACAGAGAAAACAUCUACAGAGCCUUAUCUUUGCUAUCUCUUGAUCUGCUUGGAAGCAGAAGCAUUUGGGAAUUUGCAGUUAUCUGGUUCCAGCAAGACGUCACUAAAGUGAAAGGAGUUCUUUGCAUUACUUUGCCUCUCUUUGCCUUUCUGGCUAUAAAUGGAUGAACAUUCAAGACUACAUUUUGAAAUGAAAAUAUCACUUUUUCAGUGUUAAGUGGUCAGUUAAUAUGCAUCUAAACAGAAAGACUUAUUACAGUCUCAGCCAGAAACCUUGGCUCUGACUCCUGCUUAAAUGGUGAUUACUGUUGUGGCUGACUGUUGGGUGACUAAAUGAGGAACAUCCGUCACUAAAGGUGCAAGAUGGUUUAGGUUAAUCUUGGAUCUGUAGGCUCCCUGUCUGGGUUUAUUGUCAGUUUGCAUGAUGCAGAGAUAGAGGAUAGGAAGGAGCCAUUGUUUUUGGAUCAGAGUUGAUUCAUUCUGUUCAUCCCUUCAAAAAAAAUUUGUACUCUUUGUGGCUGGCUCAAGCCAGGAUGCUGACAACAGAAAAAAAUUUGCCAUUGUGUUUCUAAGAGGCACAAGUCAUUCAAUUCCUGAUGAGCUGUUCUUAAAACAUAUUUCUGCUGUAAAGAGUUUGUCAGCAUCCUCAUCUCCAGACAGUCAGAUAUGCUGUUCAGGCUGUGUCAGUAGCCUAAUUAACAUAUUUUCUCCUGCUAGGAGUUACAGCAACCAUUCUGAAAUAUUUUAAACUCAUUUCUCGAAGACCCACAUUAGUCCAUCUUUAGACUGUUGAGCAGCACAUCAGCAUUGCUAGGAAAGUUUAAAGAUGACACCUCUGGUGCCUGCAAUGUCUGUGCCUGUAUAAGAUUUAUUUCCUGUGUCUUGCACUGCAGUGUUGCCCGUGUUUGGUGUGAGGUGAGGCAGCAGGGAGCAGGGGCUGAUUGAUGGGGAGUGGCACUGCAUUGCCUGGCAGCUGGGAGCUGCUUAGUGACUUCAGCACAGCAUCGGUUCAGGCCCCCACUUAACAAAUUUCAGUUACCAUCAGUUACGAGCACUGAGGGAGAAGGGGGGCACAGGAGACACACUUCACCCUGUGCCUGGCCUUUUCCAGUUCAUUUAAGAGUAUUACAGUGGUUAUAUAAUGCAGUGUCCCGGGAGGCAUGGGCAGCAGAUAGCGUGCAGGAGGUUUCCUGACCGGAGAAAUUCUGGCUUAUGAGCUGUUAUUGGGCAGCCUUGUCCCCUACCCUCCUGAACUGAUUUAUUGUCAGAUCACAAAGCAGUACAAGCUACUUUUAUUCUCUCGAUUUUUCUGAUAGGAUGUUAAGAUUGUAUUUAGUCACAGGGUAUGAUAAGCUCUAUAUGGCUUAUCUGUAGGUUAUGUAAUGCUCCACAAACACAGGCUGCGGUCUCAGUUGGUCCUGGGCUGGCUGUGCAGGGCUUAUGCUGUAACACUAUUGCCAUGGCCCAUAUUUAUCCAUUUGUUUAGAAAGAGCUCGUCCAUUUCCAUGGUCUUUAUAAAAGGUGCUAAGGACAACUCUUAAGAAGCCAAGGCAUCUGGAAUAAGUAUUUUUUUCCUUUUUUAUUUUUUAAGCUAUAAUGUUACAUACAUAUAAUGUGAAAAGUGAAAAUGAAAUAGUUGUUAUCAGUGUUUUGCCAUUCCUAAACUUUCAUGUACCUUGGUGAGACCCAUUUUAAAAUAUUUAAGAUCAUCUUUCUUACCAAAAGCUGAUACAGUAUUCAGUAAUAAAAACCUCGAGCAGCUGAAUUCUCGGAAAGCUGAACUUAAAGAUUAUUAUUGAAAUUUAACCCUGACAGAAUUUUUAAGCUGUUUUCUUUGUGCUUUAUAAGCACUGCUCUUUGACAGUUAAAAAAUCUGUUUAAUAAAUGUGAACUCAAACCAGAUAUUGUUGUAGGUAUUUAUAAACUUUGUAUUCCUUCUGCAGUUUAUAUAUCUUAUUUUCUUUGUAAAGCACUAGUUUUUAAGGCAACUUUAGUAUUUCCUUAAGGUACUCAAAGGCUAGUUAGAAGACUUUUGCUCCUUAUUAAAAGAAAGAAAAUAAUAGGUACGGAAAAAGAACCAUAGGUAUGGAAUGAUAGUAUACUGUUUGGAUAUUGUUUAAGACAUUUUUCCUGAAAGAAGCUUGUAUAUGGAAAUGUUUUUCAAUAUGUGUUUUUUUUCAAGUUGGUACAAACUGCCUUAUGAUUGUAUACCUUUUGUAAUAUCACUGUUUCUGAAAUACGUUUCUUGCAAACACAGCAUCUUAUGGCCUAGCAGUACUAUAAUGAUAAUCAGGAAGAGACUGUGGAUGUUGUGGAUGUUGUCUGCCUGGACUUCAGCAAUGUCUUUGACAUUGUCUCCCACAGCACUGUCCUGGAAAAUGACAAGUGCAGCCUUCAUUUUGUUAAGAUGACCAGGCUGGAUAGCCAGACCUAGAGGGUGCUGGUGAAUUCAGUUGGCAUCCAGGUGCUGGCAGCAUUUCCUAGGGAUCAGUGUUGGGCCCAGUCCUGAUUAAUAUCUCCCUUGGUGAUCUGGAUGAGGAGAGUGAGUGUGUCCUCAAUAAAUUCACAGAUGACACCAAGCUGGGCAGUAGUGUUGAUCUGCUGUAGGGCUGGAAGGCUCUGUGAGGGGACCUGUUUAGGCUGGAGACCAGCGCCAAGGCAUUCAACAAGGCCAAGUGCUGAGAUCUGCUCUUGGGCUACAACAACUCCAAGCUGGGGCAGAGUGACAGGAAAGUGGUCCAGCAGAAAAGGAUCUGGGGGUUCUGGUGACAGCAGCUGAACAUGAGCCAGCAGUGCCCAGAGGGCCAAGAAGGCCAAUGGCAUCCUGGCCUGUACCACCAAGUGUGGCCAGCAGGAGCAGAUAAGGGAUUAUCCCCCUGUCCUUGGCACUGGUGAGGCCACACCUCCAAUCUUGUGUUCAAUUUUGGGCCUCUGAGUUCAGGAAGGAGACAGUGAGAUACAGGAGUGUAUCCAGAGAAGGGAAAUGGAGCUGGUUUGGAGCACAGGUCCUGUGAGUAAUGGCUGAGGGAGCUGGAAUUGUUUAGCCUGGAGAAAGUAGACCGAGGGGCGACCUUGUCUCUCUAACAACUGCCUGGGUGGGGGUCAGCCUCUUUUUCCAGGAGGAAAGAAUGUAGUUCUAAGGUACACGAGGGGAAGUUUAGGUAGGGAAGCAGGAAGAAAUUCUUCGCAGAAAGGGUGAUCAGAUAUUGAAUGAGCUGCCCAGGGAGAUGAUGGAGUCACUAUCCCUGCGGGUGUGUAAGGAAAGACUGAAUGUGACAUUCAGUGCCAUGAUCUAGUUGACAUAGUGGUGUUCAGUUAGAGGUUGGACAAUCAGGUUUUUUCCAUCCUAAUUGGUCCUGUGAUAAUACAAGUAUCAACCUUAACAAUGUCCUUUUGAAUCUGGUGGCUCUUGCCAUUCACUUGAGUAAUUUCUCCUGUUCCUAAUCUAGUAGAAAAUGAUGCUUCAGCCACCGAUCACAAUACCAAUGUGACUACUGUGAAAGAUCAAAAAAUUUGAGAAUCCACUACUGCAAUGGAGCCAAUUAACCAAUAGUCUACAAAUUACCUGUGUGCAGCAAACAUUUAUUUCUCCCAGGAUUAUUUCCAUUGCAGCCAUGAGCAAUGAUAGAGCAGUGGCCCUUCUUGCAGCUACUUAUAGAUGGUGAAUAGUGUUUCAAAAGCUUUCAGAUCUUGUAGAAGUUCUUUUCAUCAGGUUUUGACAGAUGAAAUUUUGAUAGCUGUAAUGCUAGUAUGCAUUGGGAAAGUACAAUAUUUAAAUAGAAGUUAAUUGCUUACCUUUGAAGGCUUACCUGUGAGCUUUCUGUGAUGUGAUUUAAGUGCUUAUUUAUGUUAUGAAUAUACCACUUUCUGUUUGAAAGAGAAUGUUCCUGUGUUGAAAAGCUUCUGUUAUGCAGAUGCUAUUAAAAUCAUAGUUUCCACAGAAGUGCUACUAGAAUUUAAACAUGAAAAGUAAGAAUUUGUGAUAAAAAUUAUUAUCAUUCUGUAAUUUAGAUGAUUCUCAGAUUCAGACCCAGAAACUAAUUUAUAGAGGAAAGACUAUUUGUUUCCAUUUCUGAAUACAUCAAAACUUUGCAAACUGCAACUGCACUAAAGUGACAUUCUAACUUGUCAUGGACUCUGUACUCUGAUUCUUAGGGUACUGGCUUAUUAAUUGAUGCUUUGAAUACAAGUUAUCAGUUUGCAAGCAUGGGGAUAUAAGAUUUACAAAUAAGAUAUUCCAAAAGUAGCUAUCAUGACAAGAUAAAAGAUGAGUAAGCACUGAAGAUGUGAAAAGUUAAAGAAGCUCAAGAUGUCACAAAAAUGUUCUGUCCAUAUAAGAAAAAGUGCCAUUAAGUAGGCUUUGAUCAAGUUACAGGAGCCAAAUUUUUGUGCGGAACUAUUGCUUUAGCCAUGCAAUAGUUUUAUCAGUCACUCCAGCAUUUGUAAAUAAUUUCUACAGAUAAAUUAGACUGCAAUAAAGAAGUUGGAUAAUCUUGCAACAGUAUUGCCACUUUUUCUUUCUUUCCUUUGACUUUUCCAUGUCAAAAUAUUCUCAGGAGUUACCUGUGACAGGAUGUAGACUACGCACUAAAGUGGACUCUCAAUAAAUUAAAAUGUCCAGUGUAGAUAGACAUGUGGAAAAGAUUUGGAACCAAGUAUGAGUAAUCAAUGAACACAUUUUUACCAUAAGCUGUUUCAGCAGAAUAUGGUAUCUUGCUUACUGUAUUCAGAUGCUGAAAGAAAAAUCUCACUAAAAUCAGAAAUGAGAAGAUUUUAAUAAAAAGCUGGUGGACUCAUAGCAAACUCUAGGACUUGUACUUUGAAUAAAGAUUUUUUUUUCAAAUAUCCCAUUGAAAAUAUGGCAGUGAAUCUUCUGCUGUUUUUGUGUAAGCCAGUGUCUUACCACUUGAGAUUUCUCAUAGGAAAGGAUGAGAUAUGCAUUAAAAUUGAGAGAGCUAGAAAAUUGAGAUACAUAGAUUUGGAAGCAUGUAUUUUACUUGAUAGAAUACAUGAUGAUUACAGAGCUUGGGAUGUGUCUCGAGUAAACCCAUUUCCUACCAGAACACAUUUUUGAUCUAAAUAAGAAAAAAAAUUACACCAUUGUCUAUAACAAUUGUUCCUUCACAAAGUGUAUUCCCCGUGUAUAAAAAUUUUAGAUGGGA